rnacentral:rRNA from 1 species
UACGUAGGGGGCUAGCGUUGUCCGGAUUUAUUGGGCGUAAAGAGCGUGUAGGCGGCCAGGUAGGUCUGCUGUGAAAAACUCGAGGCUCAACCUCGAGACGCCGGUGGAAACCGUAAAGCUAGAGUCCGGAAGAGGAGAGUGGAAUUCCUGGUGUAGCGGUGAAAUGCGCAGAUAUCAGGAAGAACACCCGUGGCGAAGGCGGCUCUCUGGGACGGUACUGACGCUGAGACGCGAAAGCGUGGGGAGCGAACAGG